rnacentral:rRNA from 1 species
AGGGAAUCUUCCACAAUGGGCGAAAGCCUGAUGGAGCAACGCCGCGUGAGUGAAGAAGGAUUUCGGUUCGUAAAACUCUGUUGUAAGGGAAGAACAAGUACAGUAGUAACUGGCUGUACCUUGACGGUACCUUAUUAGAAAGCCACGGCUAACUACGUGCCAGCAGCCGCGGUAAUACGUAGGUGGCAAGCGUUGUCCGGAAUUAUUGGGCGUAAAGCGCGCGCAGGUGGUUUCUUAAGUCUGAUGUGAAAGCCCACGGCUUAACCGUGGAGGGUCAUUGGAAACUGGGAGACUUGAGUGCAGAAGAGGAAAGUGGAAUUCCAAGUGUAGCGAUGAAAUGCGUAGAUAUUAGGAGGAACACCGGUGGCGAAGGCGGCUUGCUGGACAAAUACUGACGCUGAGGUGCGAAAGCGUGGGGAGCAAACA